AGGAGAGGAGGAAGGAGAGGGGCAUCCAUCUAGCAAGGAAAUCAGUAGCAUAGUUUGGAAUAACAUCUUCAGACUCUCAUUGCAGUGUUUCUCUGCCCCUCUCCCCCUCAUGCCUUCGUGUUG
rnacentral:miRNA from 1 species